rnacentral:sRNA from 1 species
UGACGGUACAGCUUCUCCCUGACGAAACCAGCGGCAAAUGGUAGGGAAGUAGGUGGCAGGAGUUCAGCUUCUUUUGUUUCUUUGUUGUUUUGACCAUGGCAUGGUUAGUGAGGGCAGCCGUCGCUGUUUCAUAAGGGACACACAAAGAUAUUGUUGUCGACGGAGACAAGACGCAGUGUUGUGGCUGUUGUUGGAGGUCGUUGUUGUCAGACGAUAUUGGAUGUGUGUUUUGAUAACAGGAUCAGCCGCUAAGCUCUAUGGGGGAGGGACCUGACAUCUAUCCAAGAAUGAGCGGAAGCCAGAGAAUAUCGACUUCAACUGAUCAUCUUAUCAAUCACGCAAAAUAAAAUAAAAUAAAACGACCAGCCCUCCGAAUCCAAACCCCCCUCCAGCGACGAAUAUACAGAAUCCCUAAAGUCAUCAAAUCAGGAAGUGUCCAUAUGCAGGUACAUGUAUGUACUGUACACAAACGUACUGUACAUUACAUAGUGCCGAGAGGGACAUACAGUAAAUGACACGAUCUAAUCCAUUCUCCCAAACUAGGGUCAUUUGCCUGUCAUGUUGCUGCUGUACCACCUUUUUUGCCUUUCUAGGUUGCUAUGAUAACAAAAGCUGGCGCAUCGAUGGUCAUCUCGCCUGCUAAUACUCCUGUUUCUUAAAACGAAUGGCAUGGCGGAAUACAUACAAAACGGUCGAGGGAUAGGUUGGGCUAGACUGGAGUAAGAUGUGGGAUAAAAUAGAGGGAGAAAGGGAGUAACAGACCCAGUUUGCUGAGUUUGUUUUUGUAACAUCGAUAAUUGUGGUAGAUCAAUUGAUACAUGGAUACAUGGGCGCACCUUGCACAUCAAAAGGAUUCGGACAGCUUAAUUAUUAUAUAAGUACAUAAAAGCGACGGCGCUGAAUUACAACAGGUAUCUAAAUCCUUUUUCUUCAUAGUACAAAAAACAGAAGAGAAGAAGCAAAAACCAGGAAUCGUACAGCGGAACGGGGCAGGAAGGUUCAGACAGAAUUAGUGAAGAAAAUCAAAAACUUAAAAAGAGCCAGAGAGAGACCCCCCAAACCCUUACCGAGACACCAACCCAAGCAAAAUGCACCACACACACGCCACAACGAGUCUUAUCGCCUCUGCCUGAGAACUUUCGUAAUAGCAUGGCGAAUUAUGGUCCCAGCCUUCUCAACCUCCCUCCGCGAUAUGCCCGUUGUCAAGCAUACUUUGAGAGCAGGAGGAGGAGGAGUCGCAAUGUGCUGGGGGAUCACGUUGUCCUCGAUGGACUUACUACGGGUAAUGAGGACGCCAUUGGCGAGAGCCUGAGGAAACAUCAUAUAACAUUAGAUAUAUAUAAACAAACGGGGGAAAAAAAGGAAAAGAAUAAUAAGUAGAAACGCAAAGUCCUGGGAGGGAAAGGAGGCGAAUGACAAAAGCAGACGAAACAAAACAAAGCAGAGGGGAAUGAUAAAGAAGAACAAGUAAAAAAUAUACCUCGUCAACAAUAUCCUGCAUCAAGGCCACCUGAUCUUCAACCGACAGCCUCUUCGCCACGACAACACUCUGCUUCAGCACGAGGUGCAUAACGGGAUUCUCCGGCGCGGAUGAGCAGUAGACAUAGUCACUCCGGGGGUCUAGUUGCAGCCACAUCGCCUUAAUAUUCUCCCGCAGCUGCGCGAUAAGGUCGGGGCUAUUCUGCAAGAGGAUGAUGGUUUCACUAGCCGUCGUGGCCAGCAAGGCAGGAAGCGCGGCAGAGUAGCAGUACGCAGUGGCGGAGAUACGUUGGUGGUGGACAAUCUCCUCUGACCCAGCGCAGAAGCCUCCUCCUGCAAUAAGGGGACCGGCUAGUGAGCCGACGAUCAUGUCGACUUCCGUCGCAUCGACGUUUUGGUGUUCUGUGAUUCCGCGGCCGGUGCGGCCCAGGACGCCGAACGAGCAUGUCUCGUCAAGAAUUAAUCGGAAUUUGUAGCGGAGUUUGAGUUCAAUCUAUGAAGAAAAGCAAAACGAACGGGGGUAGGAACGCGACGGAAAGUUAGCGUUUACUCAUACUUCCCUUCACAACGGCACACCAGGGGACAAGGAAAAGUAAAGAGAUACGAACAAUGGCCGGCAAAUCCACCAUAUCUCCUCUACUCUCAAACAGCGCCUCGGUAAUAAUAAAUCGCCUUGUCAACGGCUUCUUCGCCUGUUCCUUCGUAAUCUUGCUCAACACCCGUUCCAAAUCCUCCAUAUCAUUAUGCUCAUACCAGCGCACCGCGCUCCGCGAGAUCUGUAUGCCCUUCCGAAUCGCAUAAUUAACACCUUUAUCCACAACAAUGAUAUCACCACGCUUAGAGAACGACGGGAUAACACUAGAUAUCGUGGAGAACGCUUGCGCAUAAACAAUACAGGCAGGCACGCCGAGGGAGGCUGCAAUGUCUGCCUCAGCACGUAUGUGCACGUCCUGAGUCCCGUAGAAACCCGGUGGCCCGCAGGGGCCGACGCCGUAUGUGCGGAGAGUCUGGAUGGCUUUCUCCUUGAGGUUCUCAUUCGCGACAAAGUUGUAGAAGUUGGAGGAGGCGAGGUUGAUCACGGUGCGGCCGUUGGUGAGUUUUGAUUUCGGGCCCGUUGGC